CGGCUUGACCCAUGGAUGGGUUCGCUCGUUUAUGACAGCAAAUCGUGGGAUAACUCAAGUUUUCCAAUACACACGAAAGUGUAUUACUCAAAGCGGCAUUA
rnacentral:ribozyme from 1 species